rnacentral:rRNA from 1 species
AAGCUAAUUGUACUUUAUGGUACAGUAUCGAUUUAAUCGAAUAAAAUUCUGGGUAGAAUUAUGAUGAUGACAUUGUCUACCUAUAUUUCUUGACCAAAUUACGUGCCAGCAGUCGCGGUAAUACGUAGAAGAUAAGUGUUAUUCAUCUUUAAUAGGUUUAAAGGGUACCUAGACAGUAAACCAAGCUUUUCUAAGGGACUAGUUUGCUAGAGUUACUUGUGAGGGGGCAUGAAAGUACUGUUGGUGUAGAGAUGAAAUUCUUUGAUACCUCUUUUCGGAAGAAAAUUAAUGGCACAGGUUUAGGCAAAAGCAUCCCCUUAUGUGAUAACUGACGUUGAAGGACGAAGGCUUUGUGUAGCGAACAGGAUUAGAUACCCUGAUAGUCGAAGCAGAAAAUGAUGAGUGUCAUAGAUUAGAUAUAAAUUUAUUCUAUAAAUGAAAGUGUAAGCACUCCACCUCAAGAGUAAUUUGGCAACAUUGGAACUGAAAUCAUUAGACCGUUUCUGAAACCAGUAGUGAAGUAUGUUGUUCAAUUAGAAAGCACGCAAAAAACCUUACCACAAUUUGAAUAUUUAUGUUUAAUGUUUAAGCAAACCAGAUAAAUAUAUUUACAAGCGUUGCACGGCUGUCUUCAGUUAAUGUCGCGAGACUUUGGUUAGUUCCAUUAAAUUAACGUAAACCCUUACUUUAUUUUUACAUAAAGUAGUUCCCCGCUAUACUGGAUAUGAU